UAGGGAAUCUUCGGCAAUGGGGGGAACCCUGACCGAGCAACGCCGCGUGAGUGAAGAAGGUUUUCGGAUCGUAAAGCUCUGUUGUUAAGGAAGAACGAGUGUGAGAAUGGAAAGUUCAUACUGUGACGGUACUUAACCAGAAAGGGACGGCUAACUACGUGCCAGCACCCGCGGUAAUACGUAGGUCCCGAGCGUUGUCCGGAUUUAUUGGGCGUAAAGCGAGCGCAGGCGGUUAGAUAAGUCUGAAGUUAAAGGCAGUGGCUCAACCAUUGUAGGCUUUGGAAACUGUUUAACUUGAGUGCAGAAGGGGAGAGUGGAAUUCCAUGUGUAGCGGUGAAAUGCGUAGAUAUAUGGAGGAACACCGGUGGCGAAAGCGGCUCUCUGGUCUGUAACUGACGCUGAGGCUCGAAAGCGUGGGGAGCGAACAGG
rnacentral:rRNA from 1 species